UGGGGAAUAUUGGACAAUGGGCGCAAGCCUGAUCCAGCCAUGCCGCGUGAGUGAUGAAGGCCCUAGGGUUGUAAAGCUCUUUUGUGCGGGAGGAUAAUGACUGUACCGCAAGAAUAAGCCCCGGCUAACUUCGUGCCAGCAGCCGCGGUAAUACGAAGGGGGCUAGCGUUGCUCGGAAUCACUGGGCGUAAAGGGUGCGUAGGCGGGUCUUUAAGUCAGGGGUGAAAUCCUGGAGCUCAACUCCAGAACUGCCUUUGAUACUGAGGGUCUUGAGUUCGGGAGAGGUGAGUGGAACUGCGAGUGUAGAGGUGAAAUUCGUAGAUAUUCGCAAGAACACCAGUGGCGAAGGCGGCUCACUGGCCCGAUACUGACGCUGAGGCACGAAAGCGUGGGGAGCAAACA
rnacentral:rRNA from 1 species